UACGUAGGGGGCAAGCGUUGUCCGGAUUUAUUGGGCGUAAAGAGCUCGUAGGCGGUUGGGCAAGUCACGUGUGAAAUCUCCACGCUCAACGUGGAGGCGCCACGUGAGACUGCCCUGACUCGAGUCCGGUAGGGGAGCGUGGAAUUCCCGGUGUAGCGGUGAAAUGCGCAGAGAUCGGGAGGAACACCCGUAGCGAAGGCGGCGCUCUGGGCCGGUACUGACGCUGAGGAGCGAAAGCAUGGGGAGCGAACAGG
rnacentral:rRNA from 1 species